rnacentral:lncRNA from 1 species
GACAAUUUGUUUUCUGGAGGGUGGCUACUUCUCAUCGGCGCUCGCUCCUUAAAAGUGCGUGGCGCGUGCUGCACACACAUGGGUCGAGGAGUCGUGUUUGAGCUCCAUUUCUAAGGGAGGCCCGAUCCUCUGUGCCUACAAGUCCACGAUCAAUUAGAGGCAAGGAAUGAGGUGAAACGUCGAUCAUAUCGGGCCCACUCACUUGAGCAAAUCAUCUUCAGAAGUUUAUGGUUAGCAUGCUCUGACCCGUACAGAAGAUCCCGACUCGCUUUUCCAGUUGGUUUUAUAUUCAUAAGCUUUUCGCCUCAGCCGCCUGCGAUGACGAGAAGAAGAGUUAAAUUAAAGCAGGAAGUAUGAUAUGAUCCUUUCCUCUUCACCUAACAAACAUCCCGACGGCAGUGAUUGCGGACCAAUAGGAGUCAUCCUUAUGGCCUUUGGUACUCAAUUUAGGCCUCGGUAACAUGCGUUCUCGAGUUGAGCCCUUAGCUGCUG